rnacentral:rRNA from 1 species
GCAAGUCGAGCGCCCACUUCGGUGGGAGCGGCAGACGGGUGAGUAACACGUGGGAAUCUACCUAUCGGUGCGGAACAACAGUUAGAAAUGACUGCUAAUACCGCAUACGUCCUCAGGGAGAAAGAUUUAUCGCCGAUAGAUGAGCCCGCGUUUGAUUAGCUAGUUGGUGAGGUAAUGGCUCACCAAGGCGACGAUCAAUAGCUGGUCUGAGAGGAUGAUC